AACCAUAGAAACCUGCGGAGUACCUGCGGAGGGAUCAUUAAUGAAAGACUAUAGAGCUUUUGAGACUGCAUCUUUAUUUGGUGUGUGCUCAGCUCUUCAUCUUUUAAUCCACACACACCUUUGUGCACCAUGGGAAAAGGGGGGGUUUAAGACCCUAAGAAAGUCUUGUCCCCCCUUUUCUUUUUCCAAUAUUAAACACCAGUUAUUAUGCAUGUUUUUAUUAUACUCUAAGGAGUAAAU
rnacentral:misc_RNA from 1 species